UUGGCAAAUACUGAUAAGGAUUUUAAUACAUUGGAGGAGGAGGAACCAGUUUCUAUAAAAUUUGAACCAGUCCACCUUAACGGGGAGGAUUACCAAUACAAUAAUCAACAUGAGUUCGAGUACCAACCGAAUGAUGUGGAAACUGAUGCAAAUCCACUUUUGGCAAAAAGUCUACUAAAACGACCUCCAAAUUUCAUGGUAAAAGAAGAAAUAUCCAGCAUUCCGCCAAAAUGAAGCCAAGGGGACACUUAAGAAGGAUGAAGGACGUUACCCAUGCCCAAAGUGUAAGCGAAAUCUCCAGUCCGACGUUACUUUACGCCGCCACCUACGCCUCCAACAUAAAGGGAUUCGUCGCAACUAUAGAUGUCCACAUUGUUCGGAAGUACUACCAAGCUGGACAAAAAUGAAGAAUCACAUAAUCAAAUUUCACCCGCGUAGUAAAACGCCAUCAAGGGGACGUGAACAUUGUGACAUGUGCGAAAGAACUUUCCUCAUCCCGUCCGAAAUGCACCUUCCCGCUGAAAUAGUCCACUUCCCGGAACAGGCCUCAUGUCCGUACGGCUGUCCUGGACGCAAGUUUGCUUCUAAGGCUGAGUGGGUGGCCCACUUGGAGAUGUGCCUAUCUCCAAGAAUGAAUGCAAAAUCCGAGUGCUCCUGCAACUUUUGUCACGCCGUAUUUCGUAACCCCUUGCUCAGGAUUGAACAAUAUCUGCGACAACAUUCAGAUAAAUGUUAUUCUUGUGCUGUUUGCCAGAGGAAGUUUUUCCGGAAAAUGUCACUCGAUCA